rnacentral:rRNA from 1 species
AGUGAACGCUGGCGGUAGGCCUAACACAUGCAAGUCGAACGGCAGCACAGUAAGAGCUUGCUCUUACGGGUGGCGAGUGGCGGACGGGUGAGGAAUACAUCGGAAUCUACUUUUUCGUGGGGGAUGACGUAGGGAAACUUACGCUAAUACCGCAUACGACCUACGGGUGAAAGCAGGGGAUCUUCGGACCUUGCGCGAUUGAAUGAGCCGAUGUCGGAUUAGCUAGUUGGCGGGGUAAAGGCCCACCAAGGCGACGAUCCGUAGCUGGUCUGAGAGGAUGGUCAGCCACACUGGAACUGAGACACGGUCCAGACUCCUACGGGAGGCAGCAGUGGGGAAUAUUGGACAAUGGGCGCAAGCCUGAUCCAGCCAUACCGCGUGGGUGAAGAAGGCCUUCGGGUUGUAAAGCCCUUUUGUUGGGAAAGAAAAGCAGCAGGUUAAUACCCCGCUGUUCUGACGGUACCCAAAGAAUAAGCACCGGCUAACUUCGU